UACAGAGGGUGCAAGCGUUAAUCGGAAUUACUGGGCGUAAAGGGUGCGUAGGUGGCGACAUAAGUCAGGUGUGAAAUCCCCGAGCUUAACUUGGGAAUUGCGCUUGAGACUGUAUUGCUAGAGUGUUGUAGAGGAAAGUGGAAUUUCCGGUGUAGCGGUGAAAUGCGUAGAUAUCGGAAGGAACACCAGUGGCGAAGGCGGCUUUCUGGACAAACACUGACACUGAGGCACGAAAGCGUGGGUAGCAAACAGG
rnacentral:rRNA from 1 species